rnacentral:lncRNA from 1 species
CUUGCGUAAAAGUCUAAAAGUAUUUGGUUUUAAAUAUACUUAAGUAUCAAAAGUAAAUGUAAUUGCAAAAAUAUACUUAAGUAUCAAAAGUAAAUGUAAUUGAAAAAAUAUACUUAAGUAUCAAAAGUAAAAAUGAUUUUAAAUUCCUUAUCUUAAGCAAACCAGAUGGCACCGUUUCAUUUUUUUAUUUUUUAUUUACGGAUAGCCAGGGGCACACUCCAAUACUCAGACAUAAUUUACAAACGAAACGUGUGUUUAGUGAGUCCGCCAGAUCAGAGGCAGUAGGGAUGACCAGGGAUGUUCUCUUGAUAAGUGCAUGUAUUGAAACAUUUUCAUGUCCUGCUACCCAUUCAAAAGUACUUUUGGGUGUCAGGGAAAAUGUACGGAGUAAAAAGUACAUUAUUUUCUUUAGGAAUGUAGUGAAGUAAAAGUUGUCAAAAACAUGAAUAGGAAAGAUACCCCCCAAAAUACUUAAGUAGUACUUUAAAGUAGUUUUACUUAUGUACUUUACACAUCUGAUUACUCUAACGGGUUAGCUGACAGACUUGUGUGUGUGGCUGUUUGCAGGUGCGUGCGUGCACUUGAUAGACGGCCCCUGAUAGACUGAUGCCCCUGAUCCACCACCCUCCAGGAAGUGAAGAGAGGGACAGAGAGAAAUAAAGAGGGAGAGAAGAGAAAAGAGUGGUAGAGAAGAGAAGGGAGAUAAUAGAGAAGGGUGAAGAGAGACUAGAGAACCGAGAGGGAUAUCUGAGGAGAGGAAGGAGUUGGUCUCUCAUCCAGUAAUAAUAUUUUCUGGAGCUCUCUGCAAAACAUCUGGUUCUCUUCAGACAAGCCUUAUUGCUACUGACACUACUUAUUUGUCUUUCACCCACACCUCUCCCACCUACAUGCACACGUAUACACAAGUACACACACGUGCACACUGCACUGACACACAAGUGUGUACCCCCUGUCCCCUCUCAGUUGCUUUUGGCUGGAAACUUGUUUCCCAAAGAGUUGCUGGUUCAAGCCUCGUUCCGGUUGUUUCCCCUAAAUUGUUACGCCUCCUUCACAGACCGGAUGGCACUUCAUGUUCUUUUCCUAUAGAAAACCCUUGUGUGGCUAUUCAAUGGGCCGGGUUGUUUUAGUUAUGAAUGAAACGGUCAAACAAACUAUAACUGUAAAAACCUGUGGUGUAGCAAUGUUGUAGGUUUACUGGCAGUGUUUAGUAAAAUCUCUC